GAUGAACGCUAGCGAUAGGCCUAACACAUGCAAGUCGAGGGGCAUCACAUGAAGUAGCAAUACGGAUGGUGGCGACCGGCGCACGGGUGAGUAACACGUAUGCAACCUGCCUUCAACAAGGGGAUAACCCGUUGAAAGACGGACUAAUACCCUAUAACACAGGGGUCCCGCAUGGGGAUAUUUGUUAAAGGACAACCGGUUGAAGAUGGGCAUGCGUUCCAUUAGCUAGUUGCGGGGUAAGGGCCCACCAAGGCAACGAUGGAUAGGGGAACUGAGAGGUUUAUCCCCCACACUGGUACUGAGACACGGACCAGACUCCUACGGGAGGCAGCAGUGAGGAAUAUUGGUCAAUGGACGCAAGUCUGAACCAGCCACGUCGCGUGAAGGAAGACGGCCCUACGGGUUGUAAACUUCUUUUAUACGGGAAUAAAGUGCCCCACGCGUGGGGUUUUGCAUGUACCGUAUGAAUAAGGAUCGGCUAACUCCGUGCCAGCAG
rnacentral:rRNA from 1 species